rnacentral:rRNA from 1 species
UACGUAGGCAGCAAGCGUUGUUCGGAAUUACUGGGCGUAAAGAGUGUGUAGGCGGUGUUCUAAGUCUGUUGUGAAAUCUCCCGGCUUAACUGGGAGGGUGCGGCGGAGACUGGAAUGCUAGAGUGUGGGAGAGGUAAGCGGAAUUCCUGGUGUAGCGGUGAAAUGCGUAGAUAUCAGGAGGAACACCUGUGGUGUAGACAGCUUACUGGACCACGACUGACGCUGAGACACGAAAGCGUGGGGAGCGAACAGG